rnacentral:rRNA from 1 species
UACGUAGGGGGCAAGCGUUGUCCGGAUUCAUUGGGCGUAAAAAGCGUGUAGGCGGCCAGGUAGGUCGGUUGUGAAAACUGGAGGCUCAACCUUCAGAGGUCGACCGAAACCAUCUGGCUAGAGUCCGGGAGAGGAGAGUGGAAUUCCUGGUGUAGCGGUGAAAUGCGCAGAUAUCAGGAAGAACACCCGUGGCGAAAGCGGCUCUCUGGAACGGUACUGACGCUGAGACGCGAAAGCGUGGGGAGCGAACAGG